ensembl:lncRNA
GGAAGUCGCUGUCGAUGACUAGUCGGACCUCACGAUGAGUGUGACAAACACAGACAGUAAACUGCAAUAAACAAUGGCAAACCAAGGGCUAAUGAGUCCAAGCAGCAAUGACAGCAGUCGCUGCGUUCAUGUUAGCACUGGUUUUGACGACUACCAAUGUACGGUGAUUCUCAUGGUGAAAAGGGCAACAGCUACAUUCUCUUUAGUGGGAUGUCUCUUCAUGCUGUUUGUGAUCUGGCUUUUCCGCAGAUACCACUCCUUGGCUCAGAAGAUGGUCGUGAGCCUGACUGUAGCUGCGUUCUUUGACAGCGUUGCCUACGUCAUGGGUGAGGACCAUCCCAAAGGACCGCUGUGCACCUUUCAAGCCUGGUGGCUUACAUACUUUGAUUGGAGUGCCCUGGCCUGGGUCAGUCUCAUCACCCUUAACCUCUACAUCAACCUAGUGAAGGAGACACGGACGGAGCAGUACCACAUAUUCUACCAUCUGUUGGCCUGGGGGGUUCCUCUCCUGAUGUCCUGCCUUCCCCUGAUUGGUGGGUUCUACGGUCCGGCUGGACCCUGGUGCUGGAUCACAGACAAUCACGUAGCCUGGAGAUUUGGAAUAUGGUACAUCCCACUCUUCACCCUCAUUUUCCUGAUGAUUUGCUGCUACAUUCGCAUCAUCUACGUGGCCAACGCGAGGAUGCGGUCGUGGUUUGGGACGUUCAACCCAGAGAGAGAGCGGCGGAAGGUGUCACUGAGCGAGGAGAUCAAACCCCUGAAGUGGUACCCCUCCGUCUACCUGCUGGUGUCCUUGUGUCCCCUCAUCAACAGGCUCCACAAUGCCUUCUACCCUCAGAGUCCGGUCUUCUCUCUGACGUUGCUCCACGUGCUGUCGGCGCCACUGCACGGCCUGGCCAACGCCUUUGUCUUCGGCUUGGACCGCGACACUUGGGGCCAGCUGAGCGUCACCGGCAUCCAGCUGGCCCUGCACUCGCGCCUCUGUGACAGCACACAGAUCCGCGAGUACCACCCAGGGACGGUCCGCUACACGCCCCCCGGCCAGCUGGACCUCUCCGACUCGGACGACGACACCAACGUGCUCUUUUACUCCCCGGACAUGGCUCUGAAGGACAGGGGACCGUGAGGGGGAGCGGGGGAAGGGAGUGCGGAGAGAGCGAGAGAGCCGGGUCGGGAGGACAGCCAGGCACACUGUGCAGACGAGCUGUCAGCCUCCAUUAUUAAUUCCCGGCUCUUAAUAUUUAAUGUCAUAAAAGUGCAGCUCCCCACGCUACUGUGGGCCCUGGAGCCGGGAGGAGGACAUUGCUCGGUACGGCGGGGGGGGGGGGCAAGCUCUCCUAACCUCACGGUGGCUUCAAAGACACUCAUCUGUUUCUGAAGAUUUUUUUUUUUUUUUUUUUUUGCUCUGCUUACAUGGUUUACAUUAGUUUUCACCGUAUUGUAUCUGCUGUUUUUUGUUUUUUUUUUUUUUUCAAUUUACUAAUGUUUUGUUGUUUCACAAAGACAAGCAUGUAAUGUUUUACACUAUGUAUUUAUAAAAUAUACGUAAGUACGGCAUAUUUUUGUACCUCUUAAAUGUGCAACGCGUGCGCUGUGGCAGGGGCCCCUGGGAGACGGGGCCCCGAGCCCUCUUACCACCAGCGGGGGCCUCACAUUGGCUCGUUCCCCAUGCCCAGCAGCCACACGCAGACUCGCCUGUCGCUUUGAUGUAGCGGCUGCCACCGUGUGCCAGACACGGCCCCGUCAGGAGACACCUUGACAGCCUGUCAGCCGCUGCACCGUGUGAUUGGCAGCUGGUUAGAGGCGGCGGUAGCUAAGGGACAAAAGACACGAGGCUCUGCCCCCCCCCAGUAAUUUGGCUCUGCCCUUUCUUGAGCCUCAGUUUUGCCCACGAGUGACCGGGAAUCCCCUGCUGGCCCCGUGGCCCUCGGGAGCAUCCCAGUGACCCCACCAGGGCCAUCGUUCCUCAGUAAAGAAAACAUACCAAAUACAUCUGACU